rnacentral:rRNA from 1 species
GACGAACGCUGGCGGCGUGCUUAACACAUGCAAGUCGAACGAUGAAGCCCUUCGGGGUGGAUUAGUGGCGAACGGGUGAGUAACACGUGGGCAAUCUGCCCUUCACUCUGGGACAAGCCCUGGAAACGGGGUCUAAUACCGGAUAACACUCUGUCCCGCAUGGGACGGGGUUGAAAGCUCCGGCGGUGAAGGAUGAGCCCGCGGCCUAUCAGCUUGUUGGUGGGGUAAUGGCCUACCAAGGCGACGACGGGUAGCCGGCCUGAGAGGGCGACCGGCCACACUGGGACUGAGACACGGCCCAGACUCCUACGGGAGGCAGCAGUGGGGAAUAUUGCACAAUGGGCGAAAGCCUGAUGCAGCGACGCCGCGUGAGGGAUGACGGCCUUCGGGUUGUAAACCUCUUUCAGCAGGGAAGAAGCGAAAGUGACGGUACCUGCAGAAGAAGCGCCGGCUAACUACGUGCCAGCAGCCGCGGUAAUACGUAGGGCGCAAGCGUUGUCCGGAAUUAUUGGGCGUAAAGAGCUCGUAGGCGGCUUGUCACGUCGGAUGUGAAAGCCCGGGGCUUAACCCCGGGUCUGCAUUCGAUACGGGCUAGCUAGAGUGUGGUAGGGGAGAUCGGAAUUCCUGGUGUAGCGGUGAAAUGCGCAGAUAUCAGGAGGAACACCGGUGGCGAAGGCGGAUCUCUGGGCCAUUACUGACGCUGAGGAGCGA